AGUGAACGCUGGCGGCAUGCCUAACACAUGCAAGUCGGACGGCAGCACAGUGAAGCUUGCCUCUUACGUGGGGCGAGUGGCGGGCGAGUGAGAAAUACAUCAGCAUCUACUUUUUCGGGGGGUAUAUCGUAGGGAAACUUACGCUAAUAGCGCAUAUGACGUGCGGGUGAGAGCAGGGGAUCUUGGGACUUUGCUCUUUUGAAUGAGGCGAUGUCGGAUGAGCUAGGGUGCGGUGUAAAGGCCUACCAAGGCAACGAUCAGUAGCGGAUCUGAGAGGAUGAGCGGCCACACUGGGACUGAGACACGGCCCAGACUCCUACGGGAGGCAGCAGUGGGGAAUUUUGGACAAUGGGCGCAAGCCUGAUCCAGCCAUGCCGCGUGACUGAAGAAGGCCUUCGGGUUGUAAAGGACUUUUGUCAGGGAAGAAAAGGGCGGGGUUAAUACCCCUGUCUGAUGACGGUACCUGAAGAAUAAGCACCGGCUAACUACGUG
rnacentral:rRNA from 1 species